CCAAACAUGGAAAGUGUGCUGUCACGCUGUGGUCUUUUGCUUCGCGCUUCUCCCCCCACCAUGCCUCGCCUCCUGCUCUGCCUCCUUGUGCCUGCGAGAAAUGCGUCGAAGCAUGCGGGCGACAAAGCCGGAGGCGAGGCGCUAUGCGCGUUGGCCUUUUCGGAGGAUCUCCACUGUCUCCGCCUCCCUACAUGUUCCGUACAACGUCCUGGAAAAGAUGGCAGAUUCCCUGCUUCUGCUGCGGCUGGGAUAAAAGAAGAGGCCGGGCGUCGAUCUCCUCCCACUCGUGCAGCUGCUAAUGACGGUUCGCUCCAUUGAGUCCACGCUACAUGAGCAAUCUGGCACCUCUUGUUCUCCAUAUUGAAGUGAUGAUAAAAGGCGAUUAUCCACCAUAGCGAACUUUGCUAUGAUUUACAUUCAGCAAAAAAGGUCAUUACAUAGACAAAAUUCAUCAUAUGGGCUUUUGACAAAAUAAAUGAAGUCCUCCCUGAAUAGCAUGUAUAAGCUUGAUAACUGAACCGGUCGCAGUUAGUAAAUGUCUGUGAUGCUGUUAACUCUUUUGGUCUUCAGAAUGGAGCAAAUGCAGGCUGGCCCUGAGGUGGCAGAGCAGUCAAGUUUGCUGAAAGUAGGCCGUCAAGAAGUUUUCAGAACAGCAGGGUUCUAUACUGUAUCAUUUAUAGCUUCCCCCUAUUAUGACAUGAGUUACAGAGACAUUGCAGCAGUCUAUUCUGCAGACCUCUCCAGCAGCUACCUGAGUCGGUUCACAAAAGCUAAGCAAGGAUGGGACACCUAGGAUACAUCUUUUGUUGUCUGUAUUUCCUCACUGUUAUGAUGUCAUCUAAGGAAGAGGAAUAAGGCUGGAUUCCACAAAGAGUGAUGCUGCCUGUAUGGAUCAGACGAUGAGUCGAAGACGGAAGAUCAAGUGUUGUCUUCUCUUUUCUUCUUGCACGUGUGAACCUACGGGGACUCUGAUAUAGAGAUUUAUGCGAGUUUUCGAAACCUAUUAAUUUCAGUGUGGAGUAAUCUGGGGACAUUAAGAGAUGACUGGUUUUUUC